GUCUACAGCCAUACCACCCCAAAUGCUCCGGAUCUCUUCUCAUCUCGGAAGCUAAGCAGGGUCUGGCCUGCUUAGUACUUGGAUGGGAGACCACCUGGAAAUACUGGGUGGUGUAGGCU
rnacentral:rRNA from 1 species